AAAAUUAUAUGUGGUUUAUUUGCUAUGCAGUAGUCGGUACCUGUAUAAAUUUUCUCUUUUGUGUUACACAAUCAUAAAUGUUCUUAUGCCACUGAAAAGUAUUGCACAUGUAUUUUAUAUUAAUAGAGCAUAGCUGUUAAUUUAAGAACAAAUAGAAGUGUUUAAGUUGGAGAAGACGAGUUUUUCAAUUACAAAUCCGCAACAAAGGAAUUAUUAAAGGAUAUACAAAAGUUGCCACAGCACAAUGGAUAUAUACAAAUUAGUUUUACUGAUUAGCUUGAUGGCGACUGAUAUGUACGCUGCAGAUUCUUGUGCAACAGUGAAUCAAAAUUGCUCUUUAUUCGAGUUGAAUACAGACCUGGUAUCGGUACAAAAUUUGACAGAUAAGGAUGUGACGUCAGAUGAAUGGUUUAUGGUUUACGGAUCGGACUUCACUGCUGUUCAAACGUAUGGAAGGUGUAUUUACAAAUGGACACCUUCAGAACAAAGUAGCGUAAUAGAAAGGCAACUUAUGUGCUACAAUUUUAAACUGAAGAAAUGUGAAAAAUUUUUAUUCAGAGGUCACGUGGUUCGAUGACGAAUGUGGAAGAGCUAAAGAACUAAACGGUAAUAAUACAAUGAUGGGAAAGUUUUACACCCAAGAUCCUCGUCAGUAUUUAUUCUAUUACACGUGCUACUAUUCUACAGACCCGGAUAUUUGUGACGUCGACUAUCUUGAUAUUAUACUCCGAAAAAAACAACACAAAGAUUCCGCGACUAAUGAACUUGAUUUGGGGCAAGUUCCGUGGCAUAUGAUAGCUGCAGAUUUGAAGAAUAUCUAUAACAUGGAGUUUACCAAUGACAAAGUUAUGUUUCAAGCUAAAGGACCAGUUUGCGAUUUUAAUGGAAACAUUGUAACAAACGCUGCUGGACGAUGGAGACUUGAACAGUUUGUAUUGCUGAUUGUUUUGCUGCCGAUUUACAUUUACAGUAUCCCUAUGUAUUAUUAAAAUAUAAAUACUCCGACAGAAUGACUAAAUGGCAAACAGAUGAAAUGUUUGAUUAAAAAAUGUUAGAUAAACUUACAUGCGUGUGUCUGUGUGUGUGUGUGUGUAUAAUUCAUAGCGCAAUUGACAAAAUUACAAGAUAUAUUUGUUGCUCUUACCUAAUGUAGUAAUUCAAAUGUGCGCUUGAAUAGAGAACGAGGUUCAUUUCCGUAAAGGUACAUUAUAAAAUAAGGCGCAUACUUGAAGCAUUACUGAUUCAUUAUUUUCCUGUUAAUUCCAUCUGUAAGAAAUACCAGUACAAUAAAAAUAUACAAUUUAAAAGGUAA